GCACUGCCUUUGAGCUCCUGUCUCAGGCUCAAGCUGCAGUAUCAGAGCAUGUGCUUGCACAUUAACUGGGACUGUCUGCUCCCCACCCCAUGGCCCCUUUAACCACAAAUGACAAGG